AGUCGCACGACAUGCGCCUCGUCUACCGCCGCGACGGCGUCCUCCCCCUCCUCCGCGCGCCGCUCGUCCUCCAGGAGUUCGUCAACCACGGCGGGGUGCUCUUCAAGGUCUACGUCGUCGGCGACCGCGCCACCUGCGUGCGCCGGAGCAGCCUCCCCGACGUGCCGGCCCGCCGCCUCCUCGACCUGGACGCCGAGCCCUCCGUCCCCUUCGCCAACAUCUCCAACCAGCCGCUCCCCCCACCUGAUGACGACGGCGGCGCCGCCGACGACGACACGCCGGCCGCCGGCUUCGUGGACGAGGUGGCGCGCGGGCUCCGGCGAGGGCUGGGCCUGCACCUGUUCAACUUCGACAUGAUCCGGGAGAGGAGCGAGGAGCACGGCGACAGGUACUUCAUCAUCGACAUCAACUACUUCCCGGGCUACGCCAAGAUGCCGGGCUACGAGGCGGCCCUCACGGAUUUCUUCCUUGAGAUGCUCCGUGGCACAAGACCUGUUCCUGAGCAGCUGGGCCCGGGCUCGGGCCUGGACAUGGAGGCCCGCAAGCUCGAGCCUGGGCUGGGUAUCGGUCUAAGAGAAUUGGAG
rnacentral:lncRNA from 1 species